rnacentral:rRNA from 1 species
UGGGGAAUAUUGCACAAUGGGCGCAAGCCUGAUGCAGCCAUGCCGCGUGUGUGAAGAAGGCCUUCGGAUUGUAAAGCACUUUCAGCGAGGAGGAAGGUGGUGAGCUUAAUACGCUCAUCAAUUGACGUUACUCGCAGAAGAAGCACCGGCUAACUCCGUGCCAGCAGCCGCGGUAAUACGGAGGGUGCAAGCGUUAAUCGGAAUUACUGGGCGUAAAGCGCACGCAGGCGGUUUGUUAAGUCAGAUGUGAAAUCCCCGGGCUCAACCUGGGAACUGCAUUUGAAACUGGCAAGCUAGAGUCUCGUAGAGGGGGGUAGAAUUCCAGGUGUAGCGGUGAAAUGCGUAGAGAUCUGGAGGAAUACCGGUGGCGAAGGCGGCCCCCCUGGACGAAGACUGACGCUCAGGUGCGAAAGCGUGGGGCAGCAAACAGGAUUAGAUACCCUGGUAGUCCAGCGCUGUAAACGAUGUCGAUUUGGAGGUUGUGCCCUUGAGGCGUGGCUUCCGGAGCUAACGCGUUAAAGUCGACCGCCUGGGGGAG